rnacentral:rRNA from 1 species
UAGUCAUAUGCUUGUCUCAAAGAUUAAGCCAUGCAUGUCUAAGUAUAAGCCAAUUAUACGGUGAAACUGCGGAUGGCUCAUUAAAUCAGUUAUAGUUUAUUUGAUGAUAAUCUCUACUUGGAUAACUGUGGGAAUUCUAGAGCUAAUACAUGCACUUAACUCCCGACUAGGGGCAACCCACGGAAGGGAGGCAUUUGUUAGAUAAAAAACCAACCCUCCCGCAAGGGAGGUUUCUGGUGAUUCAUAACAAACAAGCGAAUCGCAUGGCCUCGCGCCGG